rnacentral:tRNA from 1 species
GGGCGAGUGGCGGAAUUGGUAUACGCGCACGACUCAAAAUCGUGUCUCGCAAGGGAUGAGGGUUCAAGUCCCUCCUCGCCCACAA